rnacentral:lncRNA from 1 species
AAGGAAAAGAGACCCAAAAAUAGAGUCUCUUUCCCGACUGUAGAUCGGCGACACUCGUCGCCAGCAGCCUCAAUCAAAAAUAUGAAAAGAAAGGGAAGGAAGAGAGGAAGGAAAGGAAAGCUCACCCCCGGCCUCCGGUGACCUCACCGGCGAGAAAUCACGGCGAGAAACCAACAGUGCCCGCGGCUCUACUUCGGGAA